rnacentral:rRNA from 1 species
UACGUAGGUGACAAGCGUUGUCCGGAUUUACUGGGCGUAAAGCGCAUGUAGGCGGCCGAGCAGGUCGGGUGUGAAAGCCCUGGGCUCAACCCAGGAAGUGCACUCGAAACCGCACGGCUCGAGUCCCGGAGAGGAAGGUGGAAUUCUCGGUGUAGAGGUGAAAGUUCGUAGAUAUCGGGAGGAACACCGGCGGCGAAAGCGGCCUUCUGGACGAGGACUGACGUUGAGAUGCGAAAGCGUGGGGAGCAAACAGG